AACGAACGCUGGCGGCAGGCUUAACACAUGCAAGUCGAACGCCCCGCAAGGGGAGUGGCAGACGGGUGAGUAACGCGUGGGAACGUACCUUUCAGUUCGGAAUAACUCAGGGAAACUUGUGCUAAUACCGGAUACGCCCGCAAGGGGAAAGAUUUAUCGCUGAAAGAUCGGCCCGCGUUGGAUUAGCUAGUUGGUGGGGUAAAGGCCUACCAAGGCGACGAUCCAUAGCUGGUCUGAGAGGAUGAUCAGCCACACUGGGACUGAGACACGGCCCAGACUCCUACGGGAGGCAGCAGUGGGGAAUAUUGGACAAUGGGCGCAAGCCUGAUCCAGCCAUGCCGCGUGUGUGAUGAGGGCCUUAGGGUUGUAAAGCACUUUCACCGAUGAAGAUAAUGACGGUAGUCGGAGAAGAAGCCCCGGCUAACUUCGUG
rnacentral:rRNA from 1 species